UACGGGGGGGGUAAGCGUUGUUCGGAAUUACUGGGCGUAAAGGGAGCGUAGGCGGGCUCUUAAGUUAGGUGUUUAAUCCCGGGGCCCAACCCCGGUCGUGCACUUAAAACUGGGAGUCUUGAAUAGUGGAGAGGUCAGUGGAAUUGGGGGUGUAGCGGUGGAAUGCGUAGAGAUCCCCAAGAACACCAGUGGCGAAGGCGGCUCACUGGCCCGAUACUGACGCUGAGGCACGAAAGCGUGGGGAGCAAACAGG
rnacentral:rRNA from 1 species